rnacentral:rRNA from 1 species
AAAAACAUUGCCCCUAGAUUAUUUAUUAUGGGUACCUCCUGCCCAGUGACAUUAAGUUCAACGGCCGCGGUACCUUAACCGUGCAAAGGUAGCAUAAUCACUUGCCCAUUAAUUGUGGGCUAGAAUCAAAGGAUAAACGAAAUAUUGACUGUCUCUAUAAGCCCCAUAAAAAUUAUCCUCUAAUUGAAGAAAAUUAGAUACAGUUGAAGGACAAGAAGACCCUAUAGAGCUUUAUUUUAAUUAAGAUAGAUAACUUCUUUAAAAUUCGGUUGGGGCGACCUGGGAAAUUAUUAAUCAUCCCCCAUACACAGAUUCAUAAAUCUAAAUUUAGACCCUAUUUAUAGACCCUAAAAACAAGCUACCUUAGGGAUAACAGGCUAAUCUCACUAAAGAGUCCUUAUCUAUAGUGAGGUUUGGCACCUCGAUGUUGGCUUAGGGAAUCUAUUUGACGUAAAAGUCAUGUAAAGAUGGUUUGUUCAACCAAUAAUACCCUACAUGAUCU